AAAAGGGGCUUCUGUCGUGAGUGGCACACGUGGGGCAGCUUGACUGCUCUACAUGCGGAAUCGACGUCGAGAUUGCUGAAGCAUAAUGUUUUGGUACCUGGGCAGCUAGCGAUUGUUGGUCCUGGAACCCUU